AUGGCAGCGACGCGAGCGUGCUUGGUCGCGCUCGCCAUGGCUCUGACGUUUCUCUUCUUGGAGGGCCCAGCCGUGGUGUUGGUGGCGCCGGCGGCGACCACUGAUAGUUUGGUGCAGCGGAGGCGGGAUGUGCAAAGGCUCCUCAGGCGGCUCAAUAAGCCUCCUGUCGCAAGCAUUCUGAGCCCAGAUGGAGAUGUCAUAGACUGUGUGCACAUUUCCAAACAGCCUGCGUUCGACCAUCCUCUCCUCAAGAACCAUACUAUCCAGAUGCGGCCUUCUUACAACCCAGGAGGCAUUUAUCAUGACUCCAACAUCGCACCCCAUCCAAUCACCCAAACAUGGCAUCAAAAUGGUAAGUGCCCUGAGAACACCAUACCAAUCCAGAGGACCAAGGAGGAGGAUGUCCAUAGGGCCAGUUCCAUCAAGAGGUAUGGCAAAAAGAGGCCUAGGAGCAUCCCAAACCUCAGUUCAAUCAACGACCCUGAGGCAACCAAUAUCACGAGGGGCCACCGGCAUGCCGUCGCAUCUACGAGUGUUUAUAAGUUUCAUGGAACCAAAGCCACUUUCAACCUUUGGCAACCAAUGAUUGCCAGAGCGAACGACUUCAGCUUGGCCCAAUUGUGGAUCAGUGGGGGUUCCUACAGUGGCAACGACCUCAAUACUAUUGAAGUAGGAUGGCAGGUUUACCCACAGAUGUAUAAUGAUAACAAUACUAGAAUCUUCAUCUACUGGACACGUGAUGCAUAUCAAACAACAGGAUGUUACAACCUAAAGUGCUCAGGGUUCAUCCAAACGAAUAAUCAAAUCACCCUUGAUGGCAGCAUAUCCCCAGUCUCUAACUAUGGAGGUACACAACAUGACUUGGAUAUUUCAGUUUGGAAGGACCCAAAGGGGGGCAAUUGGUGGCUGCAAGUGGGAACUAAUUAUGUGGGAUAUUGGCCAUCGUCCAUAUUUUCAUAUUUGGCUAAUAAUGCCUCUAGUGUACAAUGGGGUGGUGAGGUAUGGUCACCUGAUGCCGGCCAAACUUCCACACAGAUGGGUAGUGGACACUUCCCCGAGGAAGGGUUUGGCAAGGCUAGUUAUAUAAAGAACAUACAUGUGGUAGAUUCGUUCGACAAUCUCGAACCACUAAGUGAUGUGCAGGUUAUAGCUACGCAGAAGAACUGCUAUAAUGCAGAAAAUGGUUUCUCUAGCGACAUGGGCACUUACAUCUACUAUGGGGGAGCCGGGAAGAACUCCAAUUGCCCAUGA
rnacentral:rRNA from 1 species